GACGAACGCUGGCGGCGUGCUUAACACAUGCAAGUCGAACGGAAAGGCCCUGCUUUUGUGGGGUGCUCGAGUGGCGAACGGGUGAGUAACACGUGAGUAACCUGCCCUUGACUUUGGGAUAACUUCAGGAAACUGGGGCUAAUACCGGAUAGGAGCUCCUGCUGCAUGGUGGGGGUUGGAAAGUUUCGGCGGUUGGGGAUGGACUCGCGGCUUAUCAGCUUGUUGGUGGGGUAGUGGCUUACCAAGGCUUUGACGGGUAGCCGGCCUGAGAGGGUGACCGGCCACAUUGGGACUGAGAUAAGGCACUGACUCAUACGGGAGCCAGGAGGGGGGAGGGUUGCACAAUGGGCGGGAGGAUGAUGCAGCAACGCCGCGUGAGGGAAGGCGGCCUGCGGGUUGUGAAACGCAUUCGCCUGUGACGAAGCGGGAGUGAGGGUAAUGGGUAAAGAAGAACCGGCUAACUACGUG
rnacentral:rRNA from 1 species